ACAAAAAUUGCCAAGAUCCUUGUAAGUAAAAACUUCAAUGAAUAUUAUAAUUGAGCAUGGAUUGAGGCAUGUGAGUAGUCGAUCUUAGCUUAAAAAGGUGUUUUGAACACAAUAGUGAAGUUAGAUUUACAAAAAAAUGCUUUCUUGACCACUUACAAGAGCCAUCAGCCUUGGUAACGAGAUUGGUUCUUGGAUGAAUGAAGGCCGUAGAUCUAGAUUAGGGAUCUUAAAAAUCAAGGGUGGAGAUGUAGCCACCCUUCUAUGAGCCUCCACUUAAUUGAAUAAGAGAGGCUUGGUUUUCCAAGCCCUUUCUCUCUCCUCUUUUGGGUGAAGGGUGGAGCCAUGCCAAAAUUUGGCCAAAACCCUAAUCUUAAUUUUAUUUAGAUUUUAAUUCUCAUUAUAAACCUUGUAAUUUUGUAUGUAAGGAUUUUUCAUUGUGAAGGAUGGUCAUUAAGUUUUAAAAUAUGUUUCAUUGAGGUAGAUAUCUCCUCGGCCUUUCAAAUACCCCAAGGGUUUCAAGGGCCUCGGAUUUUCUUCAAUCAGUCACUCAAUUUAUGU
rnacentral:lncRNA from 1 species